rnacentral:rRNA from 1 species
GUGAGUAAUACAUCGGAACAUGCCCAGUCGUGGGGGAUAACACUUCGAAAGAAGUGCUAAUACCGCAUACGUCCUGAGGGAGAAAGCGGGGGAUCGCAAGACCUCGCGCGAUUGGAGUGGCCGAUGUCAGAUUAGCUAGUUGGUGGGGUAAAGGCCUACCAAGGCAACGAUCUGUAGCUGGUCUGAGAGGAUGAUCAGCCACACUGGGACUGAGACCGGCCCAGACUCCUACGGGAGGCAGCAGUGGGGAAUUUUGGACAAUGGGGGCAACCCUGAUCCAGCCAUUCCGCGUGAGUGAAGAAGGCCUUCGGGUUGUAAAGCUCUUUCGGCAGGAACGAAACGGCGAGCUCUAACAUAGCUCGCUAAUGACGGU